AGAUUAUAAAACAGUGCCAAUGUUUUCAUGAAGGGGAGUAAGACUUGUGGUAUAAUAUAUCUUAAAUACAAGUUAGCAAUUAUUGCUGCUUUUCAGUAUGCGUAGAGUUUUAGAAUGGUCAUUGGAGCUGACAUUUAAGGUUAGCAUUACAGCUUGUCCUUACAGUUUGAUGUUGGAAAUGGCUAUUAGAGUUUACUUUUAAAGAUAAUAAUUACUGUGGCUGAAGGAUGUUAUUCUGUGAUUAAUUUUCCAUACUCCAUAGAGAUGUUGUGAAGGUUCUAAACAUGUUGGCAGCUGGGGACUCUCUCUUCACAAGACAUCAGAUUUAAAAUCCCCAUUCUGACACUGGACAUGACUGCCAAUUUGUACAUCCUGCACUACCAAAAAGAUGCCUUACUUAUGCAAGGAUUUUACUGCCAGUCUGAAGAAGACCAAGAGUGACCAUAUUUCCCAUUGGGGUCUUUCUAACUCUACCAAACAGUUUCCAAUAUGAACGGUUCAUAUAAAUCUUGCAUAAACAAGAGCAAAAAUGUAGUUGAUAAAUUCUAAAAUAGUUAAUGUAAAGAUUCUCCAUUUUCAACCAAAGUGGAAGUUUUGAUUAAGGUUAAUGUAUUGUUUUUUUGAAUUUUCACUCAACUUUCUUUUUCUCUCUACCAUUAAAUGCUAUUGAUUUUUUUUAUUGUGCCCCAACAGAUAAAAUGUUUCUUAUACAUUGGUUAAGAAUGGAGAAUCUAAAAAUAACAAAAAUAUUAUAAAUAAUUUUAGUAUAGCAAUGAGUUUAUAUGGAAAUCAAAAAUAUUAUUGUCAAAAUUGGUAUAUUGAUACAUUCAAGAGAUUACAUGUAGCAAUAUGUGAGUAAUCCUUAUUAACUACCAUUCAGACAUUUCUUGACUAAAUAUCAAGUCUAUUGCUAUAGGUACUUGACUCGGUUGUAAUGGAUCAUAAGUCUAACAGGGUCAAGGGGAGAUAAUUCCCCUGUUCAAUGCCUCAUACUAGAAGUUUCUUUAGUGCACAGUUUACCAAUAUUACUUAGACAUUCUCUUCUGUAAUUUGAGCAGUACCAGAGUACUGGAACUGUUUUACAAAGCACCCAUUAAACUUUUCAUGCAUUGAGUUAUGCUAAGCAUCUUUGGCUGAAUUUUUGACUAAGUCCAAAAAACUAGAAUAUUGAUGAAACACCUUACUUUCAGGGAAUGUAAUUUGUCCCAUAAGUAGUGCUCUGAGCCUUAAAAACUGUCAAAACAAGUGAAAUUUAUUUUAUUUGUGUUUAUUGUCUACGAUAAAAGAAAUGCACAUUGAAAAAAACUGUUUUUGGGCCUAAGAGAUGAGUUCAGUAACUGUAGAUUCAGCAAAUUCCCUGAUCAGUAAAUGUAGAUUCUGCAAAUUCCCUGAUAUGGGGCUUAGUACAUAAAAGUUUUAUUCCAUCUUAAAGAGUUAACUUAGUCUGUAAAAAAAUCACUUUUCACUUUUUCUUCUUCUGUAGGAUAGUUAGUGGUUCAGAUAUAUGCCUGUUGAGAAUAAAAUUACGAAUAGAGAGUGAAAGUAGUUAUGACAGUAAACUGAAUUAAGAAUGUUAAAUAAAAUAUGUUUUUGCAAAUUUGGACGACAAUUAAUUGCAAUUAUGUACCGUUUCAACUAUAGAAGUAGUAUAGACUUGCAAAUCCAUACCAUUACAUCACAGGAAGUAGUAUGGUUGUCUGAGCGAAGCCAAUUGGAAGCAUGUACCUCUUAGUGAAGCUAAUUGGGAGCACACCCUCUGUCUUGUUGCGAAGCUGAUUGGAAGCAGUACAUAUAUAUCUCUGUCUGCAAAAGCUAAUUAGAAGCAGUACCCCUGGCAGAGUGGUCCCAAUUAGAGGCAUGUAACUCUGAGGGAAGCCAAUUGGAAGCAGUACCUCUGCAAAAUUUGAUUAAAAAUUAUUCAACAAAUUUUAUUUAACAUUGAAAUAACUGUUCUUGGGCCUAAGAGAUGAGUUCAGUAACUGUAGAUUCAGCAAAUUCCCUGAUCAGUUAAUGUAGAUUCUGCAAAGUCCCUGAUAUGGAGCUAUGUACGAAAAAGUUGAGUUUUAUUCCAUCUUAAAGAGUUAACUUAGUCUGUAAAAAAAUCACUUUUCAAAGAUAAGUGUAACUUACCCAUUUCCUUUCAUUUGAAACUUUUUGUUCUUCUGUAGGAUAGUUAAUUGUUCAAAUAUAUGCAAGUUGAGAAUAAAAUUACAUAUUUUUUCACUGAAAAAUGAAAAUAAAAUUUGCAUUAAAGUACACUGUCUGCAAAAAUAGUUCAAUGCUAGAGUCUCACGUAAACUUUUUUUAUCAUGUCAAUUAAGCAUAGAAAUAACAAAAAAGAAACAAAUUUCUCUUUCCAAUAGCUUCUAUAUGCAUUUUUAUAUGUAAAUAUGUGUUACGACCGAAAUUGACCUCAACUUACACAUUUUUUAGAAGCACCCCUCUAAAUUUUAUUUAAUGCAUAAAAUAACAAGCCCUCUAUUAAUAUACGGUGAAGGAAUUGGAUAAAGUCAACUUGGUUAUCAGAAUUUGUGAUUAUCUCCCCAUAUCAAAUAAGAACUUUUGCCAGUGUGGAAUUUUACUGACAAUAUUUCUUUGUAAAGGAAGGCUUUCAAUACAAUUUGAAGUAGUAAACUGAAAUCUGAAAGUAGACAACUAUUUGACAUGCAGACAUAUUAACUUGCUGCCUUAACGUCAGGGGGUAAAUGGAGCAAAAUCUUGCAUUCUCCUAAUCUCCUGGCAUCCAUCUUUCAAAUGACAUUAUUUUUUAUUUGAAAUUAAGGAAGUUCGCUUGCUUUGGGAUAUUUGUCAGAUUUUCAGAAUUCUCUAGUUUUAUUCAUUUGAAUGUCUUAAAAAAAAUUGCCCAUUGAACCCCAAUUUUUCUAUUUAUAAAUCUUUUACAUGUAUAAUGAUAAGCCAUCUGUAAGUCUCAAUAAAUUUUAAUUAUUUUCUAAUAGUUUUUGAGAACUUAAACUUGUCAGUGAUAAAGCUAAGAUUAGUCGAGAGAGAUUUUUUUUCCCGCAAAAAAUUCCAAUGAUUUAUCUCGGAAACAAGCACAUUGACUUUUAAAUUAAUUUUGCUCUUUUGAUUCCUUUAUAUUAAAAUCACCUAUCAAUAUAAACUAGUGUUUUGAAAGUUCAUUAUUUUGAAACUGAGAAGCAAACUGUUUUCCCUUUAAAAAUAAUGCCCCAUGUCCUCUGCAAAUGGGAUAUUUAAAAACUGUAAAGAAAGUCCUUAUAAAGUGAUGAACAAUUGUUUCUUUGAUUAAAAAAAUAUAAGAGGUAUGGACAUACAAAAAUCAACUAAUGCAAAGGUUGUCUUGAUUAUACCCCCGCUUUAAAAAAGGGGGAUAUACUGUUUUACCUCUGUCUGUCAGUCUGUCAGUCAGUCCGUCAGUCCGUCCCAUGAAUAUUUUUGUCGCAUUUUUCUCAGGAACUACAAUACAAGGAUUUCUGAUAUUUGGUUUCAGGGUUUAUCUAAGUCAGCUUUACCGUAUGAUGCGUUUUCAGAUUCAUCACUCGACACUUCCCCCCAACACUUGCAUAUUUUUACACUAUUAAUAUUAGCCACUUGGGACGGGGGUAUCAUCAGUGAGCAGUAGCUCGCAGUUUCCCUUGUUUAAUAAGAAAGACAACUUUUGGUUCGUACCACACUGUCAUCAUGAUUAAAACUACAGAAGAGUACAAAAUUCCCAAGUGAUAAUGUGUUCUUCACAAUUUGUCACCAGUAGAAGAAAUUACAAAUAGAGAGUGAAAUAAGGUAUGACGGUAAACUGGAUUUAGAAUGUUAAAUAAAAUAUGUUUUUUGCAAAUUUGGACGACAAUUAAUUGCAAUUAUGUACCGUUUCAACAACAGAAGUAGUAUAGACUUGCAAAUCCAUACCAUUACAUCACAGGAGGUAGUAUGGUUGUCUGAGCGAAGCCAAUUGGAAGCACGUACCUCUUAGUGAAGCUAAUUGGGAGCACACCCUCUGUCUUGUUGCGAAGCUGAUUGGAAGCAGUACAUAUAUACCUCUGUCUGCAAAAGCUAGUUAGAAGCAGUACCCCUGGCAGAGAGGUCCCAAUUAGAAGUAUGUAACUCUGAGGGAAGCCAAUUGGAAGCAUGUACCUCUGCAAAAUUUGAUUAGAAAUUAUUCAACAAAUUUUAUUUAACAUUCUUUUUAAAGUUUACUUUCAUACCAGCUCUCAUUUUCUAUUUAUAAUUACUCCCCUUUUUGACAUUGUGACAUGCAAAUUAUCACUUCACUAUUCAGUAGAUCAUUCUAAUAAAUUACUACAACACAUGCACCCUCGAGUAUUGUUAUAAGGAUAAAAUAUUUUAUAAAUUUUAGUUUAUGCACCUUUAAACAAAAACUUAACUUACUUUUUUGACAGCUAAGGUUCCUCAAGAUCUAUAGGGAGGCUGAUAUACGUUUUCUAUAAAGGGCAUAUGAUACAGUAACAGGGGAGGUAUUGACGUCCCUAAUUUCAAACGUUACUUUUAGCCAUGUCGAAUAGUUGCAUACCAGGAAAAGACCCAUUGUUUUACUGAUUUAACAUGAAAUGAAUUCACGGACCCCUCUUUUUUAAUAUUACACGAAGCUUGAAUAUGUUUAAAGAUGAUUUGUGCCAAUUUGAAGAAAUCACCAAUGGAAUAUUUCUAAAUAAUAUUUCUUAAUAAACAGCCAAUAAUGAUGUGGUUUUUUUUUUUAUUAAAAUCAUGUAUAUGAAGAGAUGAUUAUCAAGUAUUAUUUAAUUUCUAAACUUCCCUUGUAUUUGUCUUUUAUGACAAAAAAGAAAGUAUGUCUUUCCAUUAUUUGGAAAUAUCUAUAAGAAACCGAAAUGUCUAGUAGAAAUGUCUGAAAUUGACCACUCGUCUAUAUAAGUAGCAAAUGAAGGUACAUGUAUUAUUACAUAUUUGAAUUGACUAGGUGAAUAAAUGGCUUGUAAACAAACUUGUUUUUAUUUUCAAUAAAUUUUAUUUAAAUGUAAAAUACAAUAAUUUUUUUUUUUAGAUUAGAUUGUCAGAGGAUGGGGUAGAAUCAUCGGUUCUUAAGUUAAUGAUUUUAUAAGAACAGACUUUGCAAUCAUAUUAGUUUGUUAAAUAAUAUUUGUGGUCUUCAAAAAUCAUGAUAUCCUAGCUUGAAAUAGAAUAAUUACUCAUGGCACCACAUAGAUUUGACUAGAAUUAUUUUGUUGUGUAGUAGUUUAAGUGAAAAUAGAAACCCUUAACAUUUCUUUUAACAGUUUUGAAUUAUAAACCUCAUAUAUACUUAAAAAAAAAUGUUUUUAAUAAAUGAAGAAUAAAGUUGACAUUUUUUUAGUUUAAAUUCAAAUUGCAGAUUGACAUGAUAAAUUCAUUAUUUUUAUUUAUGUUCCCUAGUAAGCUUAAGAUUAGAAAAUCUUGAAAAAGAAAAAGAAAAUAAAUGUACCAGCAGUGACAGAAUUUAUAAUUUUAAGAAUGAAUUCAAAGUUUUCCAUUGUAUAUAGCUGCAUACUAUGAUUGGUAUUUGUUUACUUGACUAAAACAGGAUUUUUAUUUUCAGUCUUCGGGUCAUGUAUAAAAAAAAUGGAUUUCCAGAAAGUUGGCUUUUGAGGCUUGAACUUCUUUUCUUUACACUAUUGAACCCCAACCAAAAUGAAACACUAGACUAAGUUUUCUCCACCUAUUAAAAGUGGUGUGUUUACAAACAAUUCAAAAAGUUUUGCUGUUUCAGUUAUUUUUUGGAUAUAAAAUACUCUUUUACUUUGAUAGAAACAAAUCCUCACAAUUUUAAUAUCUCAAAACGGCCAUCAUAAGGACUCCCUGGUGAGAAAGUGGGAGCCUUACAUUUUUCACUUUAUUCGUCUGUCUACAAUUUUUGUAAAUGCAAAAUUUCCCCCCAAAAAGAUAGGUAAAUUAAACCAAUCUUUACCAUUCACUGUGCUUCCCAACACUUUGGUUACCAUUCUAGGGUUAUGCCCCUUUCCAUAUGGAAAAAAUCCUGAAUGUUUGUUUCUGUUCUCUUAAUUUAAGUUUGUCUCAACUAAAUUUAAUGAAAUGUGUAUAUAUAAUGCUUAUUACCACUAAACGCAGUUUAAGUUCAAAUUUUGGCAGCUUCACUUUUACAGUUCUUGAGUUAUGUCCCUUUAUAACGUAUAUGCUUGCGGGGGCAUCAUCUGUGUCCUUAUGGAAGUUUUGACCCCAUUUAUUUUUGAUAUAGUGGAAGCAGAUUAGUUAUUUAGGUAUUUUGUAGCAUGAUGCAUUAUAAUGAAAUUUUGCUUGUGUUUCAUAGACCUAUGGUUGGAAAUAUUUUGAAAACCUCACUUUCUACACAGAGUGUUAAGUUUCUUUUUAUAAUACUCUAACUGAUAUAUUUGCACAUGAUCAUGUAUUUUGUUUUGAAUAGUUCUUUUUUAUACUGUCCAAAUUAUACCUCUCCAAGCAAAUAGUUUCAAAAAAGGUUUCCAACAUUUUUCCACUACAUUGAUUUUAUAUCGUUUUAAACACAGUUAACAAUUAUUGCAUUCAUUAUUAUAAUGAUUUUCUUUAGGUGUAUAUUGUUAUGCUUAUAAGUUGUACUCAUGUAUAUUGUAUGUAUAAUAAUUCCCUAGGCAUAAAAGUAUAGCAGGAAUUGCUCAUUUGUAAUACAUGUACAUGUAGGCAUAGGAAUUUAAGCACCAAGAUAUUUGGGUUGUAAAGUGACAUCUUUAUGUAUAUUAGUUCUAGUUUGAACUUUGAAAAUUAUAUUUUUAGGGAUAUUUAAAGAAAAAAGAUUUGCAUAAUUUUGUUUUUCAAGUGGAAUGGCUAUUAUAUAUACAAACAUAAUCGUUUUUCGACUUUUGUACCAAAUAUUUUAUAGCUGUAGUGCUCAUGACAAGAUUUCUUUUUUACUUUCAUAUUUACAAACAAAAUUAUGUUUUCUUUUUCUCAUUUACCUAGUGAGGUCACAGAACAUUUCGUAGUAAAGGGAAAAAUUAUUGUAUAUAUGGUACUAACGUAGUAUUUUUAUGAGUUCAUAUCAGUAGGUAUAAGACAUGUGACUAAUAUUAUAGCAGGAAAUUUUUUCCUGGAUAUUAUCACUUUCUAGCCCGCUGCAGACAGGGCAACAUUCAUGUUCCAUUCAUAUUAUGAAUAUACUUUGAUACAUGCAUUUAUAUAUUUUUCAAAACAUUUACACGUCCAAGUAUGUCUCAUGAGACGACUUGUCGCAUUUACAGGGUCAGAGCAUCUAUGACUGUUUCCUGACCCUGGGGUUGGACCCAGGUUUCCAGUUUCCCAUUAUUGGGUUUGUUUGGUUGUUCCUGGCCGGCGAGGUCGUUGAUGAUCGAGUUAUUCAUUUGUAAAGUUAUUCAGUUUACAUUCAUGUCAACCAUAUUAUAUCUCUUGUUUGUUCUAGCUAAGUUGUACCUAAUAGUAUUUUUCAAGUACAUUUCAAGGUUUUUGUUAUUAGGAGUAAUUGUGUAAUUGCUUUUUUCAUAUGUUUAUAUAUAUAUAUACAUGUAUAUAUUAAGACACAUGUAUGUAAUGUCUGUAAUUAUUUAAUAAAUUCUGUUGUUCACUAUGCUUGCUGGGCUAUCGGCAACACCAUAUUAUUGUGUUCAUUUAUGCCUUAUAAUAGAUAUGAGCAUAAUAUAGGGUAUAUGUAUAGUUAUUCAAAUGCAAAAGGUUGACAUGAGAUUAUUUCUCCAGUACUGGUACAAGUUAUUGAAAUCAUAUUAUAAAAUGUAUGUUUAUAUUGAUAAUUUGUCCUAUUAAAUGGCAGCUCACAAUAUGCUGUACUUGAGCUAGUCAACAAACAUAA